rnacentral:rRNA from 1 species
GUGUCAGCCGCCGCGGUAAUACGAAGGGGGCUAGCGUUGUUCGGAAUUACUGGGCGUAAAGGGCGUGUAGGCGGUCCGCUAAGUCAGGUGUGAAAUUCCUGGGCUCAACCCAGGACGUGCGCCUGAGACUGACGGACUUGAGUCCGGGAGAGGAUGGUGGAACUCCCAGUGUAGAGGUGAAAUUCGUAGAUAUUGGGAAGAACACCCGUGGCGAAGGCGGCCAUCUGGACCGGUACUGACGCUAAGGCGCGACAGCGUGGGGAGCAAACAGGAUUAGAUACCCGGGUAGUCC